rnacentral:rRNA from 1 species
GAUGAACGCUGGCGGCGUGCCUAAUACAUGCAAGUCGAGCGAACAGACGAGGAGCUUGUUCCUCUGACGUUAGCGGCGGACGGGUGAGUAACACGUGGAUAACCUCCCUAUAUGACUGGGAUCACUUCGGGACACCGGCGCUAAUACCGUAUAAUAUAUUGAACCGCAGGGUUCAAUAGUGAAUGACGGUUUUGCUGUCACUUCUAGAUGGAUCCGCGCCGCAUUAGCUAGUUGGUGAGGUAACGGCUUACCACGGCAACGCUGCGUAGCCGACCUGAGGGGGUGAUCGGCCACUCUGGAACUGAGACACGGUCCAGACUCCUACGGGAGGCAGCAGUAGGGAAUCUUGCGCGAUGGGCGGAAGACUGACGGAGCAACGCCGCGUGAGUGAUGAAGGUCUGCGGAUCGUAAAACUCUGUUAUUAGGGAAGAACAAAUGUGUAAGUAACUAUGCACGUCUUGACGGUACCUGAAAAGAAAGCCACGGCUAACUACGG